rnacentral:rRNA from 1 species
CAGCCUGAUGCGCCAUGCCGCGUGUGUGAAGAAGGCCUUCGGGUUGUAAAGCACUUUCAGUCGUGAGGAAGGUAGUGUAGUUAAUAGCUGCAUUAUUUGACGUUAGCGACAGAAGAAGCACCGGCUAACUCCGUGCCAGCAGCCGCGGUAAUACGGAGGGUGCGAGCGUUAAUCGGAAUUACUGGGCGUAAAGCGCAUGCAGGUGGUUUGUUAAGUCAGAUGUGAAAGCCCGGGGCUCAACCUCGGAAUAGCAUUUGAAACUGGCAGACUAGAGUACUGUAGAGGGGGGUAGAAUUUCAGGUGUAGCGGUGAAAUGCGUAGAGAUCUGAAGGAAUACCGGUGGCGAAGGCGGCCCCCUGGACAGAUACUGACACUCAGAUGCGAAAGCGUGGGGAGCAAACAGGAUUAGAUACCCUGGUAGUCCACGCCGUAAACGAUGUCUACUUGGAGGUUGUGGCCUUGAGCCGUGGCUUUCGGAGCUAACGCGUUAAGUAGACCGCCUGGGGAGUACGGUCGCAAGAUUAAAACUCAAAUGAAUUGACGGGGGCCCGCACAAGCGGUGGAGCAUGUGGUUUAAUUCGAUGCAACGCGAAGAACCUUACCUACUCUUGACAUCCAGAGAACUUUCCAGAGAUGGAUUGGUGCCUUCGGGAACUCUGAGACAGGUGCUGCAUGGCUGUCGUCAGCUCGUGUUGUGAAAUGUUGGGUUAAGUCCCGCAACGAGCGCAACCCUUAUCCUUGUUUGCCAGCGAGUAAUGUCGGGAACUCCAGGGAGACUGCCGGUGAUAAACCGGAGGAAGGUGGGGACGACGUCAAGUCAUCAUGGCCCUUACGAGUAGGGCUACACACGUGCUACAAUGGCGCAUACAGAGGGCGGCCAACUUGCGAAAGUGAGCGAAUCCCAAAAAGUGCGUCGUAGUCCGGAUUGGAGUCUGCAACUCGACUCCAUGAAGUCGGAAUCGCUAGUAAUCGUGGAUCAGAAUGCCACGGUGAAUACGUUCCCGGGCCUUGUACACACCGCCCGUCACACCAUGGGAGUGGGCUGCAAAAGAAGUAGGUAGUUUAACCUUCGGGGGGACGCUUACCACUUUGUGGUUCAUGACUGGGGUGAGCGU